AUUGAACGCUGGCGGCAGGCCUAACACAUGCAAGUCGAGCGGAUGAAGGGAGCUUGCUCCUGGAUUCAGCGGCGGACGGGUGAGUAAUGCCUAGGAAUCUGCCUGGUCGUGGGGGAUAACGUCCGGAAACGGGCGCUAAUACCGCAUACGUCCAGAGGGAGAAAGUGGGGGAUCUUCGGGCCUCACGCUAUCAGAUGAGCCUAGGUCGGAUUAGCUAGUUGGUGGGGUAAAGGCCUACCAAGGCGACGAUCCGUAACUGGUCUGAGAGGAUGAUCAGUCACACUGGAACUGAGACACGGUCCAGACUCCUACGGGAGGCAGCAGUGGGGAAUAUUGGACAAUGGGCGAAAGCCUGAUCCAGCCAUGCCGCGUGUGUGAAGAAGGUCUUCGGAUUGUAAAGCACUUUAAGCUGGGAGGAAGGGCAGUAAGUUAAUACCUUGCUGUUUUGACGUUACCAACAGAAUAAGCACCGGCUAACUUCGUG
rnacentral:rRNA from 1 species